UGAUGCCAUGAGGUAUCUGAUGCUUGGUCUUUUUUCAUGGCCUUGUUUCUCGUUAGAUUGGCAGACAGUGAGAAGGAAACGGGUUUUUGCGACACUGGCUGCUCUAGUACCAGGAGCUUUCUGUUACUACACCCCCGUUUACACCU
rfam:Triticum aestivum genome assembly, contig: Triticum_aestivum_CS42_TGACv1_scaffold_250804_3DL